rnacentral:lncRNA from 1 species
ACUUUUUAAAACUUUAUAAUGGUACUUGAAAAUUUAAUUAAAAUCAUUUUACCAUCCUGGAAUUACAUAAUCAUUACAAUAUCACAUUAUUGAUUAUCUUAUGAGAUUCAUGCUUCUGUAGUGCACAUUAUAUCUUCCAAACCAAUGAUUACUUUCCCGAUGAAUGAAUGUUGUAAUUUUACUCAGUAUAUUUAGAUAGAUCACAGAGUUUUAUAAAACAUUGUACACAAAGUACAAAAAUAAGUGCCUUAUGCACACUCUUUAAUACUGUUUUCGUUUCUUUGGUACCUCAGCUAACUAACUUCACAUAAAUAAUGUCAAUAAUAACAAGAAGGAAAAGAAGCAAGAAAUUGCUUAACAUCUAGAAACUAGAGAUGCAUUUUGCAGACAUCAUGCUUUUUAUCAAGAGAAGAGAUAAUAUCUGGCUAUAUUGUAGUCAGAAAAGUAGAAAAAAAAAAAAGAACUCAUGAAGAAAUAGGGAUAAAAUGCCAAUAAUUACAUCACAUCUUUAAACCACUGAUAAUAACAAAUUGAUUUAAACAGACUGAUCUUCAGCCUAGGAGCUCAAAUAUCACUUAUGAAUUAUUACAGAAAAUGCAAAGUUUCAAAAUUUAUGUUUGGAAAAAGUAUGUAUACUUCAUUGUAAAUCAUCUACUGGAAAGAAAUAAAGGUAUAGACAAGGCUUGUUAAACAUUGUUAAAUUUUAUAAACACAGGUAUAUUUAGAAAAUAGAAAUAGUUAAUAACCAAAAUGUUCUCAAGUAAAUAAAAAGCAUGGAUCCCUGCUCAUUAAGAUCAUAAGUCAAUAUGUGAA